ACCACGCUGGUAUGCUGACAGU
rnacentral:miRNA from 1 species